rnacentral:lncRNA from 1 species
GCUACGCGAACGUUUGGCCAUUAGCUAGUUUUCAUAUAAAGCGCUUACAUAGAGAGCUGUAGAUUUUUACAUACGUUGUUUUGAAUUUGUUUAUAUUUGUUUAAAAAACAGAUUUAGAAAAAGUUGUAGGGUUUAAAAGAUAAAAAUAUAAACGUAAAAUACACUUAUUAGGUCUUAGUUCUUAAAGUAUGCAGUUUGGGGUCUAGAUUUUCACGUUUACACAAACCUUGUAAGUGUCUCCAACAUGUUGCCAAGUAUCAAUGAUGUUCCGUUAGUAAUUAAAAAGUUAUAGGAUAUUUUACCAUGAACAGAUCACUGUUUACAAAGCAGUCGAAUAUCACGACCUUCUAAAGGAAUUGCAUGGUAAAAUGUAUGCCAAUAAUUAGUUUAAUCAUUCAACUAUUCACUUGCAAAAUUUCAUGUCAUUAAAUUCAGUAAUUAAAGAAAGACAAUUAUAAUACGGACGGAGCAUCGAAACCCUACAUAAUCCGACCAAGUUCGGAUAGCUACAAAAAAGCGGCCGUGCCAUAUGUCUAAGCAACGUUCUUAACUUGGAAGGUUAGUAUAUUUAUUAAUAUGGUACAGUUGCGUGCACAGGCGUUAGGAAAAAAUAAAACAAUUGCAUUUCUUGAAUGAAAAAUAUUUUUUUAAUAAUAAUGCCACUAUCUACGACAUUUUAGUUAAAAUACGUAACGUUUAUUAACGUUAUUUUUAAUCACGUAGUCAAGUAAUUUAUGUAAGUAAUAAUAAUAAAAAUAUUUUUGUACACGAAUAUUUAAAUAGAGAAGUACUUGUUAAUUGAAGAUUUAUUUUUAUCGUAGAUAGUGGCAUUAUUAUUAAAAAAAUAUUUUUCAAUCAAGAAAUACAAUUGUUUUAUUUUUUCCUAACGCUUGUGUACGCAACUGUGCCAUAUUAAUAAAUACUAACCUACCAAGUUAAGAACGUUGCUUAGACAAUGGCACGGCCGCUUUUUUGUAGCUAUCCUAACUUGGUCGGAUUAUGUAGGGUUUCGAUGCUCCGUCAGUAUUAUAAUUGUCUUUCUUUAAUUACUGAAUUUAAUGACAUGAAAUUUUGCAAGUGAAUAGUUGAAUGAUUAAACUAAUUAUUGGCAUACAUUUUACCAUGCAAUUCCUUUAGAAGGUCGUGAUAUUCGACUGCUUUGUAAACAGUGAUCUGUUCAUGGUAAAAUAUCCUAUAACUUUUUAAUUACUAACGGAACAUCAUUGAUACUUGGCAACAUGUUGGAGACACUUACAAGGUUUGUGUAAACGUGAAAAUCUAGACCCCAAACUGCAUACUUUAAGAACUAAGACCUAAUAAGUGUAUUUUACGUUUAUAUUUUUAUCUUUUAAACCCUACGACUUUUUCUAAAUCUGUUUUUUAAACAAAUAUAAACAAAUUCAAAACAACGUAUGUAAAAAUCUACAGCUCUCUAUGUAAGCGCUUUAUAUGAAAACUAGCUAAUGGCCAAACGUUCGCGUAGCGGAAACUUGAAUUUCUCCCAAGUUUAUGCAUGCACUGAUUUCAUUCAUACAUAAUCAAUUAUACACAAAUACACACUAAUUUUCGGACACGUCUCUUUUCUUCUAAAGUCUAUGGAUUAAAAAAAGUUCCGCCAGGACAACGUUUGCCAACGUUCGCCCAGCGGAAUCUGUUUUUGGUGAAUUUCUCCACAAUGGCUGCAUACACAAAUUUUUAUUUACCAUACACAAUUAUAGGACGUCUUACACUAAUUAUCUGCAUAAUUAAAAUCUUUAAAUUCAACAACAUUCCGCUGCGCGAACGCACACGUAA